GUGUGUCGAUAUAUAUAUUUUUUAAAAUGAAUAACCCAUAAAACAUAGAAAGUCACAAUUUAUACACAAAUUAAACACAAAAAUCACUCAUCUACCAAAAACAAUAAACACAAAAUCACUCUUUCCUUCAAUAAUUAUUGAAAGAAAAUAUAUUACAACAGAAAUUGAUAAAAUCUAUUCAUCCGACUGACUGAAAAUAAAAUAAAAAUCAAUGAACAAAUAAACCUAUAUUUAUAUCCCCUCCUCCAUUGCCUGUGGAGUAUAAUAUAUCUACAUGAGUACCACAUUCUCUAUCCUUUGGUUUUUGAGGUAAGAAGGAAGGUUGCUUCAAAUUUUCAUUCAUAAAUGACACCAAAAAUUCAAAAAGCAUCGUGGAAAUUAAUUAGAAAAGAAAUCAAUUUCUCAUCUAAGGAGAGAUUUUGUUUGGCAUCCAUUCGCCAUCUGUUCCAAAAACAAAAGCUCCUGCAAUACCAAAACUAAGACAUGUUCAGAAUCUUUUUCUUUAACCUAUUUUUGUUUAUAAUUAAUAUCGAAAGAAGUAUUUUUUAAUGGAGUUAAAUGAAAACUCCAAAUAAAAAAAUU
rnacentral:lncRNA from 1 species